rnacentral:rRNA from 1 species
UCUGGUUGAUCCUGCCAGUAGUCAUAUGCUUGUCUCAAAGAUUAAGCCAUGCAGGUCUAAGUCCAUGCCGCAAUAAGGUGAGACCGCGAAUGGCUCAUUAAAUCAGUUAUGGUUCCCUAGAUCUUCGGUUACACUUGGAUAACCCUGGUAAUUCUAGAGCUAAUACAUGCAAGACAACGCCGACCCGCGAGGGAAGGUGUGUUCUUAUUAGACCAAAACCAAUCGUCGCUUUCGGGCGACGUCUGUUUGGUGAUUCUGAAUAACUUUGUGCGGAUCGUACGGUCUCGUACCGACGACGCAUCUUUCAAAUGUCUGCCUUAUCAACUUGUUGGUUGUUUACUGGACAACCAAGGUGGUAACGGGUGACGGAGAAUCAGGGUUCGAUACCGGAGAGGGAGCACGAGAAACGGCUACCACAUCCAAGGAAGGCAGCAGGCACGCAAAUUACCCAAUCUCGGCUCGAGGAGGUAGUGACGAAAAAUAACAAUACGAGACUCAUCCGAGGCUUCGUAAUUGGAAUGAGCGUGAAUUAAAUCCUUGUUGCGAGGAUCUAUUGGAGGGCAAGUCUGGUGCCAGCAGCCGCGGUAAUUCCAGCUCCAAUAGCGUAUAUUAAAGUUGCUGCGUUUAAAAAGCUCGUAGUUGGAUCUCAGUCUCGAUCAAUCGGUUCACUUCCGGGUGCUACUGGUUGAAUCGGACGAUGUUGGCCACAUUUCCGGGCAUGCUCUUCACUGAGUGUGUCUUGGAGAGUGGAGCGUUUACUUUGAAAAAAUUAGAGUGCUCAAAGCAGGCGUUUCGCCUGGAUAGUCGUGCAUGGAAUGAUGGAAUAGGGCCUCGGUUCUAUUUUGUUGGUUUCCGGAACUUGAGGUAAUGAUUAAGAGGGACGGACGGGGGCAUUUGUAUUGCGACGUUAGAGGUGAAAUUCUUAGAUCGUCGCAAGACAAACUACUGCGAAAGCAUUUGCCAAGAAUGUUUUCAUUAAUCAAGAACGAAAGUCAGAGGUUCGAAGGCGAUCAGAUACCGCCCUAGUUCUGACCAUAAACGAUGCCAACUGGCGAUCCGCCGCUGUUAAUCAAAAUGACUCGGCGGGCAGCUUCCGGGAAACCAAAGUUUUUGAGUUCCGGGGGAAGUAUGGUUGCAAAGCUGGAACUUAAAGGAAUUGACGGAAGAGCACCACCAGGAGUGGAGCCUGUGGCUUAAUUUGACCCAACACGGGGAACCUCACCAGGCCCGGACACCAGAAGGAUUGACAGAUUGAUAGCUCUUUCUUGAUUUGGUGGGUGGUGGUGCAUGGCCGUUCUUAGUUGGUGGAGUGAUUUGUCUGGUUAAUUCCGAUAACGAACGAGACCCCGGCCUACUUACUAGACUACGGAUCCUCUCGUCCGUGCCGUCUUCUUAGAGGGACAACUGGCUACAUGAAAUAGCUACAUGAAA